CUUCCCACGGCCUCUUCCGUUACUUGGCACGUCUUUGCCCCUUCGCGUUCUUCACCGGAUUUCACACAGUUCCGCCCGGGGAUUUAGAUCGAUACCCUAAUUAGGGGCAAAAACCCUAAUCGUAGCCCUAAUCCAUCCCGUGAUCGGGGCUUUCCUGGGGAGGAUAUGUGAUUCGUCGAAGGCUUCUCGCGCAAUCCGCCCAGGUUUCAGUGGGUUACUCGUGCAAGAAUUUUCUAGGGUUUCUUUCUCGGCCGAGGAUUUCGCACAUGAAGGGCCCGUUUGAUCGGACGAAGAUCGUGCUCCGGCAUCUGCCGCCGUCGAUCUCGCAGUCGGCGCUGAUGGAGCAGAUCGGCGAGAGGUUCGCGGGGCGAUACGAUUGGGUGUGCUUUCGCCCGGGCAAGGCCAGUCCCAAAAAUCAGAGAUAUUCUCGAUCCUACCUUAGUUUCAAACGACCAGAAGAUGUGGUUGAGUUUGCUGAGUUCUUUGAUGGGCACAUCUUUGUCAAUGAGAAGGGUGCUCAGUUUAAGGUACUUGUAGAAUAUGCACCUUCACAACAUGUUCCAAAGCCAUCGUCCAAGAAGGAUGGCCGUGAAGGGACUAUAUCCAAGGAUCCUGAAUAUCUGGAGUUUCUCGAGCAUCUUUCAAAGCCUGAGCAUCUUCCUAGUGCCGAGAUUCAGUUGGAAAGAAAAGAAGCAGAAAGAGCAGGUGCUCAAAAGGAGAUGCCCAUAGUCACACCUUUGAUGGAUUUUGUUCGGCAAAAAAGAGCUGCCAAGAAUGGCGCUCAGAGAUUAGCUGGUAAUGGAAAACUUAGCAAAAGAGCUAUGGGAGUUAUGAAGCGGGGUUCAGAGAAGCGAAGGUUGUCCACUUCAAUGUAUGUAUUAAGGGAUGGUAGAAAGAAUGGAAGUUCCAAAGACAAACCAACAUACAUUUUAGUGCCGAGGAGAGAGGAGCAGCAGCUUCCAGACAAAUCUUUUGCCGUAGCUUCUGCAAGUGGUGCAGAAGCAUUAGAAGAUGAAUUUGGAACUGUCUCGAAUGGAUUAAUCUCUGGAUCUGUUGAAGCUCGGAAGAGCAAAAUUGUGCUUUUGAAAGGAAAGGAGAGAGAAGGUUCUCAUGCCUCUGGUGGCUUUGUGCAGCUGCAGAAUGUAACAACUACAGCAAGAAGCUCGCCUACCUCGACUUCUAAACAGAACCAGCGACUUGAGGCUGGUGGGAGAAUUAUUAGAAGCAUACUUUCUAAUGAAGUGCGUCAGUCAAAUAUGGCUUCCUCCCAGCCUGAGCAGCAUAUGCAGACAACAAACUUGGAGAAGGACAAGCGUCCACCUCGACCCCCCAGCACACGCUCCAUUUCAAAGGAUCAUGUCUGUGGUAGCUCUUCACCUGUAUCUAUUUCUGAUGGUGAUGACAAAAGAUAUAUAGAUGAUAUGGUUGCUAUGAGCUACAAGCAGGGUUCUGUAUCCAUUGUUGACAAGCAUGAAAAGCGUACUAGGAAUAAGGAUAGACCUGAUUGGGGUGUUUGGGCUCCCCUUUGUCGCUCGGACAGAUCUCAAUCAAAUGAUGGAACUUUUUCUUCAUCUUCUGAAGCUGCACAAAUUUUGGUGGAUUCUAUAGAAAAUGUCUCUAUUUCUCAACAAGCAGCUGGUAAUAAAGUAGCAGAUGAUAAUGUGGUGGUUCGGAAUGCCCAUGACAUGCCAAUAGGUCAAGGGGAGAGAAAAUCUGAUACACCUAGUGCAAGCAGAACUGAAGAAAUGAAAAGUCAUGGAGGUGGACGUGUCAGUCUUUCUAUGUUAGAAAAUGGUUCACAUAGGCACGUUGGCCGCCGAGGACCAGCACGUGCUUCGAAGGAUGCGGAGAGCUCUUCGAGUAUAUCUGAGGGGAAACAUUCCAAGAGGGGUUCUUCCAGCUAUGGUUCCCAUGAGAGACAAGUAUGGGUUCAAAAGUCAGGCUCUGCUCCGUAAAUUUUGUAUUGAAUUGUUCCUCAUAUGUUUUAGCAUGUGAAGUCGCCAAAAUUCAUUGGACCACUUAGUCUUUCAACGGUGUUUCUUUUCAUCAAUAGCCUACAAUUUCUUGGAGAUUGAUAUACACCGGCGCAGGUUUUAUCAACCUGUGGAAGCAUUAUGAUUUUGAGAAUGAGUCUUCAUCAAUUUUUGAUCUCGUAAGGUACCAUAACAGGAAAGCCUGUUCCCUACAUGCUGUUGAAGUAUGCCAUUGCCAUAUUGUUCCCACUGGGAAUCACAGCUCCAGUUGGAUCAAGAGCAGCAUGAUAGUUUAUUUCUAGCAGAUUAUGCUCUAUGAAUUGGAGGGAAAUAUGGGUCGCUUGGGUGGAAUUUUAAGGUUCUCCCGAUAGAUGAUAGCUAAGUGACAGUGGUUGUGAUGAUCCGUUUGAAAUUGGAAGUAAAUCUACCCAUUAGGAAUGAAGCAAUCUUUGUUGGCUUGAUAUUUUCGCAGGAGUUGUCUAACAGAGAUUCUUCUCAAGCAUUUUUUGCCGAAGGACCAGGGGGGGGUGUUGGAUGAUGGUGCCUGGCAGAAAUGUAAAUGUAUUAGGAAAAAAUGGGUGAGUGUAGCUUUCACCACUGUCUAUCUUGAAAACAAUAUAUGGUAUGAUAUAGCUGUGGAACUUGGUCUAGCAAAUAAAAGUUGGUUUUGUGAUAGAAAUUCAGAGUCAGCCCUCUGAGUUUGGCUGCCAGCAUUGGCCAACCAGGUGGCUGUGGGGUGGGGGAGGGAGAGAGGGAGGGAGAGAGAGAGAGAGUAAGUAGCUCCUGAAAUAUAUCAGUUGUCGGUUUAAGUCCUCUGUUGUGUGAAUGCAUGGGAUUCUGCUUGAUUGAUAUAUAUAUAUAUAUAUAUAUAACUUAGUUUCAGGUCUUCCAUGGUAUCUUUUCUCUGUAUAUGUUCUUUAAUUGCUGAUGCGGAAGUGUUUGCUUUGGUAUUAGAUAGUGCUGGUCAUAUUGUGUGCCAGCGAUGGAUGCAGUGCUCAUCCUUUUUCUUCCGGUGUCUUUUUUUACCGUUCAAUUUUGUUCGACGGUAUUGGAUUAUCUUGGAUAUUUGUUUUAUGUAUGAGCCUGUACUUUUCUUCUUCUUA